rnacentral:rRNA from 1 species
UGGGGAAUUUUGGACAAUGGGGGAAACCCUGAUCCAGCCAUCCCGCGUGUGCGAUGAAGGCCUUCGGGUUGUAAAGCACUUUUGGCAGGAAAGAAACGUCAUGGGUUAAUACCCCGUGAAACUGACGGUACCUGCAGAAUAAGCACCGGCUAACUACGUGCCAGCAGCCGCGGUAAUACGUAGGGUGCAAGCGUUAAUCGGAAUUACUGGGCGUAAAGCGUGCGCCGGCGGUUCGGAAAGAAAGAUGUGAAAUCCCAGAGCUCAACUUUGGAACUGCAUUUUUAACUACCGGGCUAGAGUGUGUCAGAGGGAGGUGGAAUUCCGCGUGUAGCAGUGAAAUGCGUAAAUAUGCGGAGGAACACCGAUGGCGAAGGCAGCCUCCUGGGAUAACACUGACGCUCAUGCACGAAAGCGUGGGGAGCAAACAGG